rnacentral:rRNA from 1 species
AGAGUUUGAUCCUGGCUCAGGGUGAACGCUGGCGGUAUGCCUAAGACAUGCAAGUCGAACGGGCUGUUUAUGCAGCCAGUGGCGGACGGGUGAGUAACACGUAGGUGACCUACCCCAAAGUCUGGGACAACUAGGAGAAAUCUUAGCUAAUCCUGGAUGUGGACAUCUACUUUGGUGGAUGUUUAAAGCUUCGGCGCUUUGGGAUGGGCCUGCGGCGCAUCAGGUAGUUGGUGGGGUAAUGGCCUACCAAGCCGACGACGCGUAGCUGGUCUGAGAGGACGAUCAGCCACAGGGGUACUGAGACACGGACCCCACUCCUACGGGAGGCAGCAGUUAGGAAUCUUCCGCAAUGGGCGAAAGCCUGACGGAGCGAUACCGCUUGAAGGACGAAGCCCUUCGGGGUGUAAACUUCUGAACUCGGGACGAUAAUGACGGUACCGAGGUAAUAGCACCGGCUAACUCCGUGCCAGCAGCCGCGGUAAUACGGAGGGGUGCGAGCGUUACCCGGAUUUACUGGGGUGUAAAGGGCGUGUAGGCGGUCUCUCAAGUUCGAUGGUAAAGACCGAAGCUCACCUCGGGGGUGCGUGGGAUACUGUGAGGCUAAACGGUCCGAGAGGGUAGCGGAAAUUUCCGGAGUAGCGGUGAAAUGCGGAGAUACCGGAAGGAACGCCGAUAGCGAAAGCAGCUACCUGCACGAUUUGUUACGCUGAGGCGCGAAAGCGUGGGGAGCAAACCGGAUUAGAUACCCGGGUAGUCCACGCCCUAAACGAUGAGUGCUGGGUGUCCGACAUCUGUUGGGUGCCGUAGCUAACGCGUUAAGCACUCCACCUGGGAAGUACGGUCGCAAGACUGAAACUCAAAGGAAUUGACGGGGGCACGCACAAGCGGUGGAGCAUGUGGUUUAAUUCGAAGCAACGCGCAGAACCUUACCAGGUCUUGACAUCCUGGGAACCCUGGUGAAACCCGGGGGUGCCGCAAGGGAGCCCAGAGACAGGUGCUGCAUGGUCGUCGUCAGCUCGUGUCGUGAGAUGUUGGGUUAAGUCCCGCAACGAGCGCAACCCCUGUUGCUAGUUGCCAGCAGUUCGGCUGGGCACUCUAGCGAGACUGCCUACGAAAGUAGGAGGAAGGCGGGGAUGACGUCUGAUCCGCAUGGCCCUUACGACCUGGGCGACACACGUGCUACACUGCCUGCCACAAAGCGCUGCGACCCGGUAACGGGAAGCCAAUGGCACAAAAGCAGGCUCAGUUCGGAUUGGGGUCUGCAACUCGACCCCAUGAAGCCGGAAUCGCUAGUAUUCGCGGAUCAGCCAUGCCGCGGUGAAUACGUUCCCGGGCCUUGUACACACCGCCCGUCAAGCCAUGGGAGUGGGUUUUGCCUGAAGUCGCCGGGAGCCACAGGCAGGCGCCUAGGGUAAGGCUCAUGACUGGGGCUAAGUCGUAACAAGGUAGCUGUACCGGAAGGUGCGGCUGGAUCACCUCCUU